rnacentral:rRNA from 1 species
GAAGCGAACGCGGUGAACUGAAACAUCUAAGUAACCGCAGGAAAAGAAAUCAACCGAGAUUCCCAAAGUAGUGGCGAGCGAAAUGGGAUGAGCCUUGCACUCUUUAUUUGUAUUGUUAGCCGAACGCUCUGGAAAGUGCGGCCAUAGCGGGUGAUAGCCCCGUAGGCGAAAACAGUAUGAAAGAACUAGGUGUGCGACAAGUAGGGCGGGACACGUGAAAUCCUGUCUGAAGAUGGGGGGACCAUCCUCCAAGGCUAAAUACUCGUGAUCGACCGAUAGUGAACCAGUACCGUGAGGGAAAGGCGAAAAGAACCCCGGGAGGGGAGUGAAAUAGAUCCUGAAACCGCAUGCAUACAAACAGUCGGAGCCUCGUAAGGGGUGACGGCGUACCUUUUGUAUAAUGGGUCAGCGACUUACGUUCAGUAGCAAGCUUAACCGUAUAGGGCAGGCGUAGCGAAAGCGAGUCCGAAUAGGGCGUUCAGUUGCUGGGCGUAGACCCGAAACCAAGUGAUCUAUCCAUGGCCAGGAUGAAGGUGCGGUAACACGUACUGGAGGUCCGAACCCACUAACGUUGAAAAGUUAGGGGAUGAGCUGUGGAUAGGGGUGAAAGGCUAAACAAACUUGGAAAUAGCUGGUUCUCUCCGAAAACUAUUUAGGUAGUGCCUCGUGUCUCACCUUCGGGGGUAGAGCACUGUCAUGGUUGGGGGGUCUAUUGCAGAUUACCCCGCCAUAGCAAACUCCGAAUACCGAAGAGUGCAAUCACGGGAGACAGACAUCGGGUGCUAACGUCCGGUGUCAAGAGGGAAACAACCCAGACCGCCAGCUAAGGUCCCCAAAUAUAGCUAAGUGGGAAACGAAGUGGGAAGGCUAAAACAGUCAGGAGGUUGGCUUAGAAGCAGCCACCCUUUAAAGAAAGCGUAAUAGCUCACUGAUCGAGUCGUCCUGCGCGGAAGAUGUAACGGGGCUAAGCUAUAUACCGAAGCUGCGGAUGCGUGCUUUGCACGCAUGGUAGGAGAGCGUUCUGUAAGCCUGCGAAGGUGUCUCGGAAGGGAUGCUGGAGGUAUCAGAAGUGCGAAUGCUGACAUGAGUAGCGAUAAAGGGGGUGAAAGGCCCCCUCGCCGUAAGCCCAAGGUUUCCUACGCAACGUUCAUCGGCGUAGGGUGAGUCGGCCCCUAAGGCGAGGCAGAAAUGCGUAGCUGAUGGGAAGCAGGUCAAUAUUCCUGCACCAUUGUUAGAUGCGAUGGGGGGACGGAUCGCGGAAGGUUGUCCGGGUGUUGGAAGUCCCGGUCGCUGCAUUGGAGAAGGCGCUUAGGCAAAUCCGGGCGCGGAAUUCAAGGGUGUGGCGCGAGCUCCUUAGGGAGCGAAGCAAUUGGAAGUGGUUCCAAGAAAAGCCUCUAAGCUUCAGUCUAA